GGUUGUGGCUCAGUGGUAGAGCACUUGCUCAGCAUGUGUGAGGCACUGGGUUCAAUUCUCAGCACUG
rnacentral:tRNA from 1 species